AUGAAGGUGGAGUUAGAGGCCCAGGUUUUCCUAUUCCUGCUGCUCUGGGUGUCUGGUGCUGAAGGGAACAUUGUGAUGACCCAGUCUCCUGAAUUCAUGUCCACGUCUGUAGGAGACAGGAUCACCUUAAGUUGCAAGUCUAGUCAGAAUGUAGAUAAGUAUGUAGCUUGGUUUCAAAAGAAAUCAGGGCAGCCUCCUAAACUGCUAAUCUACGAUACAUCCACUCGGCACACUGGGGUCCCUGAUCGGUUCACAGGCAGUAGAUCUGGGACGGAUUUUACUUUCACCAUCAGCAGUGUGCAGGAUGAUGACCUGGCAGUUUAUUAUUGUCAGCAGCAUAGCAGCUCUCCUCCCACAUUUGGUGGGGGUAAUAAGCUCACAGAGGCUGAGGAUGGUAUAGCUGAGGAUAGUAUAGAUGAAGGCACCAUUGAGGAUUUGUCUGGAUGA